rnacentral:rRNA from 1 species
UAGGGAAUCUUCCACAAUGGACGCAAGUCUGAUGGAGCAACGCCGCGUGAGUGAAGAAGGUUUUCGGACCGUAAAGCUCUGUUGUUGGUGAAGAAGGAUAGAGGUAGUAACUGGCCUUUAUUUGACGGUAAUCAACCAGAAAGUCACGGCUAACUACGUGCCAGCAGCCGCGGUAAUACGUAGGUGGCAAGCGUUGUCCGGAUUUAUUGGGCGUAAAGCGAGCGCAGGCGGAAGAAUAAGUCUGAUGUGAAAGCCCUCGGCUUAACCGAGGAAUUGCAUCGGAAACUGUUUUCUUGAGUGCAGAAGAGGAGAGUAGAACUCCAUGUGUAGCGGUGGAAUGCGUGGAUAUAUGGAAGAAUACCAGUGGCGAAGGCGGCUCUCUGGUCUGCAACUGACGCUGAGGCUCGAAAGCAUGGGUAGCGAACAGGAUUAGAUACCCUGGUAGUCCAUGCCGUAAACGAUGAGUGCUAAGUGUUGGGAGGCUUCCGCCUCUCAGUGCUGCAGCUAACGCAUUAAGCACUCCGCCUGGGGGAGUACGACCGCAAGGUUGAAAC